ensembl:lncRNA
AUGCCAGUAGAAUCAACCAUAUCUGAAGAGAGAGCUGAGGAAAUUAAGCAAUGGCUGAGAAACAACACACAGCCCAUCAGCCAGGUGGAACAGUACAUGAGAGAAACUGCCUUGGACAGGGCGCAGUGGAUAAGGGCAAACAACUCAAAAAAUAUGUUUGAGGUCCUCCAUGAGUUUCCUCGGCUAACUACCCCAGGCAUGAUUGCACAGGACUUUCACAUUUUACAUCAAGAUGCAGCUCCAAAACUGUCUGAAAAAUGGCUCCCUUGGUAUGCUGACAGGAUCUUGCUUUUUGCGAAGCGAGAAGCAAAGCUUCCAUGUACAGCUGAAGAAAUGACAGAAGAUGCAAAGGGAAAUCUUGCACUAAAGCUGUUACCUGUUUUGCUUCCACCUCCACCCUACAAAAUUGGCAGAAAAACAGUCCGGCCCAGCAUUGAUGAAAGUAAAAAAGCUUUCAUUGACAUUCAACCUGGAAGUACGACUGAAGAAACUUACUUCAAUCAUUUAAUGACUUUACCAGGUUGAAUACACUACCAUUCAAAAGUUUGGGAUCGGUAUGAUUUUUUAUGUUUUUAAAUUAAGUCUCUUCUUCUUACAAAGGCAUUUAUUUGAUCCAAAUACAGCAAAAAGAGUAAUGUUGUGAAAUAUUGUUCCAAUAAAUUAAUAUUUGCUAUUUGAAUAUAUUAAAAA